UGCCAGCCGCCGCGGUAAUACAGAGGGUGCAAGCGUUAAUCGGAAUGACUGGGCGUAAAGGGCACGUAGGUUGUUAUUUAAGUCUGCUGUGAAAGUCCUGGGCUUAACCUGGGAAUGUCAGUAGAGACUGAAUGACUGGAGUACAGGAGAGGGAAGAGGAAUUUCCGGUGUAGCGGUGAAAUGCGUAGAUAUCGGAAGGAACACCAGUGGCGAAGGCGCCUUUCUGGCCUGAUACUGACACUGAAGUGCGAAAGCGUGGGUAGCGAACAGGAUUAGAUA
rnacentral:rRNA from 1 species